UCCGGUUUGUCACCGGCAGUCUCGCAUGAGUCUCCAACUAAAUGCUGGCAACAUGCGACGGGGGUUGCGCUCGUUGCGGGACUUAACCCAACAUCUCACGACACGAGCUGACGACAGCCAUGCAGCACCUGUGCAGUCGGCCCCUUGCGGGGAAACCACAUUUCUGCGGCGAUCCGGCCCAUGUCAAGCCUUGGUAAGGUUCUUCGCGUUGCAUCGAAUUAAUCCGCAUGCUCCGCCGCUUGCGCGGGCCCCCGUCAAUUCCUUUGAGUUUUAGCCUUGCGGCCGUACUCCCCAGGCGGGGCGCUUAAUGCGUUAGCUGCGGCACAGAAGGCCGGAGAGGCCCCCCACACCUAGCGCCCAACGUUUACAGCGUGGACUAC
rnacentral:misc_RNA from 1 species